GUUUGUUGAUCUUCUUCUUUUUCUUUUUUUGUAAUAAAAACUUAAAUUUUGAUUUUAAAUUGUUAGAGAUGACAUUGACAGUGAAACAAGUCUGCUUUUUGUCUGCUUCUUUCAUCAGUUACUCUACCACCAGUACUUACCUACAUUCCUCAUUUUUGUCUUCAAUUUAGAUGUGCUAGCAGUUUUUCCCUGGCUUUUUUAAAGCUUUUUUUCAUUGACUGCUUCUUUCAGAAAUGCAUCAAACUAGACUGUACCCAGAUCAAAAUCAAGUCUUGAUUAGCUGUUUUUGAAGCAUUUCUUAUGUGGGUUUUUGAGAUAAGAGCCCUUUCUUUACUUAACUUCUAGUUUUGCUUUUUAUUUACUGUUAGUUCAGUUUCUGAGUCUUUUUCUGUUGUGUUAUUUUUAGCUGCAAAAUUUGGGAGCAAGUGUUUGUGAAAAGUCUUAGAGAGAGUUUUGGAGUAGAAAGUUCAGUUCUUUAGUGCAAAAUGAGAGAUUUCCCAUCUUGUUUUGGUGAAAAUGGGGUUCAAGUGGCUGAUUCUUCGUCUUCAAAUACUAGUAAAAAUGCACAGAAUUUGGUUACUUGUGUGUAUCAAUGUCGAAUUCGAGGCCGGUCUUGCUUGAUCACUAUUACAUGGAGUAAGAAUUUGAUGGGUCAAGGUCUAAGUGUAGGGAUUGAUGAUUCUGCAAAUCAUUGUUUAUGUAAGGUUGAUAUUAAACCGUGGUUGUUCUCAAAAAGAAAAGGGUCUAAGAGUUUAGAGGCAUAUUCUUGUAAAAUUGAUAUAUAUUGGGACCUUUCAUCAGCUAAAUUUGGAUCUGGGCCUGAACCAUCAGAGGGAUUUUAUGUUGCUGUUGUUGUGGAUAGGCAAAUGGCUCUCCUUCUUGGGGAUAUGAGAAAAGAAGCUUUCAAGAAAACUGGUGCCACUCCUAUUCCUUCCAAUACUGUUUUUGUUGCAAAAAGAGAGCAUGUUUUUGGCAAGAAAGCGUUCCGUACCAAGGCUCAGUUUUGUGACAAUGGUCAAAUUCAUGAUCUCGUGAUUGAAUGUGACACGAUUGGUGUCAGUGACCCAUGUCUUUUGCUUCGUGUGGACUGUAAGACAGUGAUGCAGGUGAAGCAACUCCGGUGGAAGUUCCGGGGGAACCAUACCAUAUUGGUUGAUGGGCUAGCAGUUGAAUUGUUUUGGGAUGUACAUAAUUGGCUCUUUGGUACAUCAGUUGGAAAUGCUGUUUUUAUGUUCAAGACUUGCUCCUCAGCUGAGAAGUUGUGGGCUAGCCAACCGCUUUCAGAUCCAAAUGGGUUGCCGCGGUCCUUCUCCCAGAGAUUUCUGGAUUCCAGAUCACAAAAUCUUGGUUUUUCAUUGAUUUUGUAUGCUUGGAAGCAUGAAUAGAGGGACUCAGAAAUUCUUAUUUGAGAGCUAACAAAAACAUUACUUUUAGCAUGUCAUGCCUCAGAGACUUUUCACAAUGAAUUCCUCGCCAUGAAUUCAUGGUAUGGGAUAUCUAAACUGUGUCCUGGUUAUUUCAUCAAACGAGGGGCGUCAAAGUUCAAGGGGUCAGUGCAUGUUUUGUAUUCAUGUCAGUUGGCUUGUUAGCUAGAAGGUGAAGAGAGCACUGUGCUAUAAGGUAUUUGACUCGAGUGAUGCUGUUUCUUAUUCUUUGCUCUUAAGGGUGGUGGCAAAGUAGCCCAUUGGCUAUGGGGCACGUACGGUAUCAGACACUCUUUUUUUCAUGCACAGUACUGUUGUGGUCGUUGGUGUUUAAAGUUGAUCCUUUCCUGCCUGUGCUGUGUCCGUAGUUGUGGUCUGUGAAACAAUAUAAAUUGAUGAUCAUACGAGGGGGCUGGUAGUUUGUUUAGAAACAAAUGCCUACUUUUGAUGAAUACACAGCGUAAUCAUUACAUAUAAUUUUGCUUUGGAAUUUGCUAUUA